rnacentral:rRNA from 1 species
GGGUCAGUAGGUUGGUCGUGCCACCGGUACGUACUGGUCUCACUGAUUCCUCCUUCCUGAAGAACCGUAAUGCCAUUAAUUUGGUGUUGCGGGGAAACAGGGCUGUUACUUUGAAAAAAUUAGAGUGUUUAACGCAAGCUAACGCUUGAAUACAUUAGCAUGGAAUAAUGAAAUAGGACGAUCGAUCCUAUUUUGUUGGUUUCUAGGAUUGACGUA